rnacentral:rRNA from 1 species
GAACAGGAAUUAGCCCAGCACUGAAUCCCGUCGUUGUCACGGCGGCGGGAGAUGUGGUGUUCGGGAGGUUCCGCUUUCUCGUCGGCGUCUUCUCCUGUCCAAGUUCGUCUUGAACGGGGCCGUUUACCCACAGAGGGUGCCAGGCCCGUAGCGACGGAGGACGGCGGCGAGAGGGACUCUCCUCAGAGUCGGGUUGCUUGAGAGUGCAGCCCUAAGUGGGUGGUAAACUCCAUCUAAGGCUAAAUAUUACCGCGAGACC